UCAGCCGGCCGGGCGGCCGCUCCGGUCCUGUCAGCGGGUUCGCCCGUCCGCGGGAUCGGGGAGGAAAGUCCGGGCUCCAUGAAGAGACGGUGCCGGAUAACGUCCGGCGGGGGCGACCCCAGGGACAGUGCCACAGAGAGCAGACCACCGCAUGGCAGGUCCUUCGGGGCCUGUUGCGGCCAGGGUGAAAGGGUGCGGUAAGAGCGCACCGCGGACGCGGCAACGCGGACGGCACGGCAAACCCCACCGGGAGCAAAACCGAAUAGGGGCGGCACGCGCGAGAAAUCGCGCACGGCCUUCUUCAGGCCCGUCGCCCGGGUUGGUUGCUCGAGGCGGCCGGCAACGGCCGUCCCAGAGGAAUGGCCGCCACGUCCGGGGGAUCCUCGCGGAUUUCCCGGGCCAUACAGAACCCGGCUUACAGGCCGGCUGAUACC
rnacentral:RNase_P_RNA from 1 species